AAGUCGUAACAAGGUUUCCGUAGGGUGAGUCCACAACCCCCCCUUCUAAUUCCUUUGUAGCAUCUUACUAACGUUAUUAUCUAGUGAACCUGCGGAAGGAUCAUUACCGAGUAAGGGUCUUCUGGGCCCGACCUCCAACCCUUUGUUAAUUAAACCAUGUUGCAUUGGCGGGCCCGCCCUAGGGGCCGCUGGGGGCUUUACCGCCCCUGGCCAGUGUCCGCCAGUAGCCUUUUUCAAAAAUUCUCUUAACCUAUUGUCUGAGUCUAAAUAAAAAUCGUUAAAAACUUUCAACAACGGAUC
rnacentral:misc_RNA from 1 species